CCUACGGGAGGCAGCAGUGAGGAAUAUUGGUCAAUGGACGCGAGUCUGAACCAGCCAAGUAGCGUGAAGGAUGACUGCCCUAUGGGUUGUAAACUUCUUUUAUAUGGGAAUAAAAUGUUCCACGUGUGGGAUUUUGUAUGUACCAUAUGACUAAGGAUCGGCUAACUCCGUGCCAGCAGCCGCGGUAAUACGGAGGAUCCGAGCGUUAUCCGGAUUUAUUGGGUUUAAAGGGAGCGUAGGUGGAUUGGUAAGUCAGUUGUGAAAGUUUGCGGCUCAACCGUAAAAUUGCAGUUGAAACUGGCAGUCGUGAGUACAGUAGAGGUGGGCGGAAUUCGUGGUGUAGCGGUGAAAUGCUUAGAUAUCACGAAGAACUCCGAUUGCGAAGGCAGCUCACUGGACUGCAACUGACACUGAGGCUCGAAAGUGUGGGUAUCAAACAGGAUUAGAUACCCGUGUAGUC
rnacentral:rRNA from 1 species